rnacentral:rRNA from 1 species
GGUGAGGACCCUGAGCGAGUUUUUCCGGGGCUUUCCGGGCUCGGACUCCUCCCACCCCUUUUGUUGAACGUACCUUCUGUUUGCUUUGGCGGCUCCGGCCGCCAAAGGACCUCCAAACUCCAGUCAGUAAACGCAGACGUCUGAUAAACAAGUUAAUAAACUAAAACUUUCAACAACGGGAUCUCCUUGGUUCUGGGC